AGCGAACGCUGGCGGCGUGGAUAAGGCAUGCAAGUCGAGCGAUCCCGCAAGGGAUAGCGGCAAACGGGUGAGUAACGCGUAGGUAAUUUGCCCUCGAAUCUGGGAUAACUCCGCGAAAGCGGGGCUAAUACCGGACAGUCCCACUGCAUCGCAUGGUGUGGUGGGUAAAGGUGGCGCGCCCGCAAGGGUGCUACUGUUCGAGGAGGGACCUGCGCUCCAUCAGCUAGUUGGUAGGGUUACGGCCUACCAAGGCGACGACGGAUAGCUGGCUUGAGAGAGUGGUCAGCCACACUGGGACUGAGACACUGCCCAGACUCCUACGGGAGGCUGCAGUCGAGAAUCUUUGGCAAUGGGCGAAAGCCUGACCAUGCGACGCCGCGUGCGGGAUGAAGGCCUUCGGGUCGUAAACCGCUGUCACGAGGGACGAAGUCCAGUGUGGUGAAUAACCGCAUUGGAUGACGUACUCGAGAGAG
rnacentral:rRNA from 1 species